CAGAGGCACCGGGGGAUAUGCCUGAGAAGAAAACAGCACAAAAGAGGAAAAGAAGUAGUUUUGGUUGAGUGGGAGCCCUGUCCAGGAUGUGGUAAGAAGUGGGCCCAUUCCUGGCAGCCAAAGGAAUCAAUUUUAAAUCCUAGUUAAAAAUUAUAUGUACGCACUUCAGCAAUGUGACUUUUUUUUUUUUUUUUACCACAUUUUAACAUGUUGGGUUAUUGAUGUUUAA